rnacentral:rRNA from 1 species
AGCGUUGUUCGGAAUUACUGGGCGUAAAGGGCUCGUAGGCGGCCAACUAAGUCAGACGUGAAAUCCCCAGGCUCAACCUGGGAACUGCGUCUGAUACUGGAUGGCUUGAAUUCGGGAGAGGGAUGCAGAAUUCCAGGUGUAGCGGUGAAAUGCGUAGAUAUCUGGAGGAAUACCGGUGGCGAAGGCGGCAUCCUGGACCGACAUUGACGCUGAGGAGCGAAAGCCAGGGGAGCAAACGGG